UCGCGAUACGUUACUACAUCUCUUAAUCCUAAAGUUUUCAUCCAUCAGAAAAUUGAACAUGAUGUUUCCAUAUUCCAUAUUGCAAAAAAAUAUUCUUCCGUAAUAAAUAAUUAAUUAUAUCGUAACCGUAAACAUGUGUGACACUAAUAUUAUGGAAAUUAAAAGAGACAAUAACUGUUCGACUACUUGAUAAACACAUAGGCAAAAGAGAGGAUCGAAAUAUAACUUGAGCGACGUAAGGACGGGGAGUCCGUCCUAGACGCACAAUUUGUAUCAGCUGUUUCGAAAAUAUACGGUUUUUGUCAAAAUUGAAGCUAGAUUUUUCUGUGCAUACCAUCUUCUCACUACAAUUUAGAAGUGGGAUCCAUCCAGUGAGCAGCGGUUUGAUUGGUGAGAAAUCGGAUUGGACGGGCUUCGAAAUUUCGUUGGUUAGAAUAUUGCGUGUUGUUGUGUUGUGUCGUGUUUAGUACGAACAGAGACAGUGACCUUUGCGAAGAGAGAGGAAGAGAUAAGUACGCUUACGAUAUCAGACCUUAAGGAGAAGAAGCUACGUGAAUUUAACUUCGCGACGACAGGUAAUAAACUGGAGCUGGUUAACCAAUUAUUGGAGGCAGGUAUUUCGGUGAGAGAGUUGAAUCUGGUUAGGGAGGAGUCCCACGAGCAGCCUCGCGACAGUGGUGAUGCAGCGGAGUCGGAGUUGGCGAUGAGUGCCGGGAGAUGAGUCUGCUUCGUAGAGAGAAGGAGAUGGCUGAGCGAGACGCAGAACUGUUACACAGAGAAAUGGAGCUUUUACGAGCCUCUCCUAGGCCACCGGCGGAAUCUGCGGCGAGACGCGGGCGGCUAUAAGGCCAUUUUGCUUCAAAGAAAGGCGGAUCGAAAUUCAUUUUAUCAUAGUGACUGAUUGUCUACUUGAAUUACUGACAUGUACAUUAAAUAAAAAAGAAAUGAGCCCAAGGAUAGCUUGUUGGAUGUUAGAAUUACAACUGUACGAUUACGAGAUACAACAUCAUACAGGAUGUUACACGUGGAUGCGUUAACACUAGAAGGACCAAGUUUUAUGACUUUAGAUACAUAUUGUUGUGCCCACGUGCCCGCUUUAGCGAAGAUACAUCGAUUUCGAUGAUCCCGGUAUAGGGAGACAAGCGAGGGGGCAUGGUUGACAAUCAGCAGUAACAACAGCUGACGGAAAGUAAACAACAGCUGGAAGAGUGGACAGCGAGUCGUAGUCGCAAGCGGACGUGUUUUGAUUGUAUUGAUACUGAGUCUGUAAAGACUGUACAUAGUAAAGCUUCUCGUUCUUUUAUAAUUGUGUGUUCAUUUCCUUCGUGCCCGAUCGCAAGCGCAAGAAUAUGUAUAAAAAUAUUUAUAUAUCUAUUUAAAGUCAUAAAACUUGUUAAUAAAAUCGUAAAACAUAUGUGAAUGCAAUAUCAGAAAUAAGGAAGCCAAAUUGGCUCCAACGAUCCUUCUAGGUAGACGAUUAAAUAAAAAUU